AUUGAACGCUGGCGGCAGGCCUAACACAUGCAAGUCGAACGAGUGGCGGACGGGUGAGUAAUGUCUGGGAAACUGCCUGAUGGAGGGGGAUAACUACUGGAAACGCUAGCUAAUACCGCAUACCAUCGGAUGUGCCCAGAUGGGAUUAGCUAGUAGGUGGGGUAAAGGCUCACCUAGGCGACGAUCCCUAGCUGGUCUGAGAGGAGGACCAGCCAAACUGGCACUGAGACACGUUCCAGACUCCUACGGGAGGCAGCAGUGGGGAAUAUUGCACAAUGGGCGCAAGCCUGAUGCAGCCAUGCCGCGUGUAUGACGAAGGCCUUCGGUUUGUAAAGUACUUUCAGCGGGGAGGCGUUACCCGCAGAAGAAGCACCGGCUAACUCCGUGCCAGCCGCCGUGGUAAUUC
rnacentral:rRNA from 1 species